rnacentral:rRNA from 1 species
UACGGAGGGUGCAAGCGUUGUCCGGAUUUAUUGGGUUUAAAGGGUGCGUAGGCGGCCCGUUAAGUCAGUGGUGAAAGCCUCCAGCUCAACUGGAGAACUGCCAUUGAUACUGACGGGCUUGAGUACAGACGAGGUUGGCGGAAUUGAUCGUGUAGCGGUGAAAUGCAUAGAUACAAUCAAGAACUCCGAUUGCGUAGGCAGCUAACUAGGCUGUAACUGACGCUGAGGCACGAAAGCGUGGGGAGCGAACAGG